GCGCCGGUGGUGUAAGGCGAACAUCGCUGCCCGGAAAGCAGAAGAUGCGGGUUGGAGUCCCGCCUGGGGCA
rnacentral:tRNA from 1 species